UCCUUUCUGGCUCAGCUGGUAAAGAAUCCGCCUAGAAUGCGGGAGAUCUGGGUUCAAUCCCUGGGUUGGGAA
rnacentral:tRNA from 1 species